rnacentral:rRNA from 1 species
UACGUAGGGGGCAAGCGUUGUCCGGAAUCAUUGGGCGUAAAGAGCGUGUAGGCGCCAGAAAAGUCCGCUGUGAAAACUCGAGGCUCAACUUCGAGCUGUCGGUGGAAACUUUCUGGCUAGAGUCCGGAAGAGGAGAAUGGAAUUCCUGGUGUAGCGGUGAAAUGCGCAGAUAUCAGGAAGAACACCCGUGGCUAAGGCGGCUCUCUAGUACGGUACUGACGCUGAGACGCGAAAGCGUGGGGAGCGAACAGG